CAGCCACUAGCGAUUUUGUGUGGACCCAAGGUUCCAUAAAGCACAUUCAUGAACCUGGUGCAAGAAGAGCCUAAAUUUUGGAUUCAGCCAAAUGGUGACUGACAACAGAGAAAAAGGAAAAAAACAGGAGUUACAAAGUUUUAAAAGAGAAGAUAUGAAUUAUCGGAACGAAAGGUCAGCUGGGCAUCUUCAUAUUUCAUGUUUUAAAGGAUCAGAAGUGCAAAGAAAGUUCUGAACUAACUGGUGAAGAGAAAAGAUGAGUAUAUGAUAGUACAACAAAGUUGAUGAGGACUUUGAAAGUAAAGAGCUUUCAUUAAUGCUUAGCAUCACUGAACUGCUGACUCCUGGGCACCAAAGGAUUAAUCAGCUUUUAUUCUCACAGGAGAAGCACAGAUUAAGAUUUUUCGUUGCUGCUGUAGUUACUUUUUAAGAGGCAUUUGUGGUUUACUGCCGGCACUAGCAAAACUGCACAAAUAGACAAAUUGCACCAGGAUGGUAUCUGUAGCCUGUGAGGCAAGAGCUGCUAUCAACAUGCAUUUUUAUAACAUGCUGUAAAAGAGAUGAGAUUUGCACUUGCUGACACUGAAAUCCUUCAUCACAGCAAACCAGGUAUAGCAAAACAAGUAGCAGAGUGAGCUUUUUAUUUAUAUAUGCUUCCUCAAAUCUUAUUUAAUCUAGAUAUUUAAAUUGGUAAAGUAUAUGAGUAAAACAAGUAUACACACAGAUAACAGAC
rnacentral:lncRNA from 1 species